rnacentral:rRNA from 1 species
AGUGAACGCUGGCGGCAGGCUUAACACAUGCAAGUCGAGCGAGCGGCGGACCGGUGGGUAAUGUCUGGGAAACUGCCUCAUGGAGGGGGAUAACCAGUGGAACAGGUAGCUAAUCCAGCAUCCCAUCAGAUGUGCCCAGAUUGGAUUAGCUGGUAGGUGGGUGAAUGGCUCAACUAGGCGACGAUCCCUAGCUGGUCUGAGAGGAUGACCAUCCACACUGGAGGUGGGGCACGGUCCAGACUCGAACGGGAGGGAUAAGUGGGGAAUCUUGGACAAUGGGAGCAAGACUGAUGCAGCCAUCCCCAGCGAGUGAAGAAGGCCUUCGGGCUGUAAAGCACUUUCAGCGAGGAGGCGGUACUCGCAGAAGAAGCACCGGCUAACUCCGUGCCAGCAGCCGCGGUAAUAC